rnacentral:rRNA from 1 species
AUGGCAGCUCUGCCUCUUCUCGUUUCCGGAGCGGAGCUGUGCGUGUUCUGGAGCUGGUUUGACCCGAGGGCUAGCCCCUACCUUAGGCAGCUACUCCUCGAUCUGCGAAGCGAGAUCGUUGGCAUAUGGAGGGCGAGAACGCACUGCUGCACAUGUCUCUGGAGCAAGCCCUGUGCAAAGCAAAGCGCCGACAGAGCUUCAGCUCGCGGCUCGUUGCGAUUCUACUGA